rnacentral:tRNA from 1 species
GCGGGUGUGGUCCAAUGGUAGGAUACGUCCUUCCCAAGGAUGAGGCGGGGGUCCGAUUCCCCUCACCCGCU